GCAGCGAUGCCGCGUGAGUGAAGAAGGCCUUUGGGUUGUAAAGCUCUUUCGUCGGGGAAGAAAAUGACUGUACCCGAAUAAGAAGGUCCGGCUAACUUCGUGCCAGCAGCCGCGGUAAUACGAAGGGACCUAGCGUAGUUCGGAAUUACUGGGCUUAAAGAGUUCGUAGGUGGUUGAAAAAGUUGGUGGUGAAAUCCCAGAGCUUAACUCUGGAACUGCCAUCAAAACUUUUCAGCUAGAGUAUGAUAGAGGAAAGCAGAAUUUCUAGUGUAGAGGUGAAAUUCGUAGAUAUUAGAAAGAAUACCAAUUGCGAAGGCAGCUUUCUGGAUCAUUACUGACACUGAGGAACGAAAGCAUGGGUAGCGAAGAGGAUUAGAUACCCUCGUAGUCCAUGCCGUAAACGAUGUGUGUUAGACGUUGGAAAUUUAUUUUCAGUGUCGCAGCGAAAGCGAUAAACACACCGCCUGGGGAGUACGACCGCAAGGUUAAAACUCAAAUGAAUUGACGGGGACCCGCACAAGUAGUGGAGCAUGUGGUUUAAUUCGAAGAUACGCGCAGAACCUUACCAACACUUGACAUGUUCGUCGCGACUCUAAGAGAUUAGAGUUUUCGGUCCGGCCGGACGAAACACAGGUGCUGCAUGGCUGUCGUCAGCUCGUGUCGUGAGAUGUUGGGUUAAGUCCCGCAACGAGCGCAACCCUCACUUUUAGUUGCCAUCAUUAAGUUGGGC
rnacentral:rRNA from 1 species